UUAUUUUUUGCUAAAGAUCCGGAAAAUAUUUUCCGGAGUUGAGAGAAGGAAAGCACUUUUCUUUGUAAAUGUUCAAGUUUUUCCUUUGAUCAAAACUAGUUUUCAUUAAUGAAUUUUUGUAAAGUUAAAUAGCCAUGAAAGAAUUUGAAAAAUGAUUUUAAAAAAAGUUGUAAAACAACCGCCCAAUGGGUAUUUAACUAUUAUUGAGAAUAACCAUUCAAAAUAUUUUCAUUACCUCCUUUUCGUUCCCGGGAAAAUUUAAACAUUUAUCACCUUAUCGCUUUUAGAUUACUAGAGUUUUACUGGAGAGUUUUUUUGUGAAAAAAUUCCCUCUUAAUCAUUGAUUCUGUAGUGUGGGGAAACAUUUUAUUCACUGUGUUUUUGCUUGUAUCGAUGAAGAUGGGGGCGGAAUCAAAAUGGUGAACUUGGUCUUAGCACCACUGAGGGCUCUCUUGUGCCUCAGAAAAUCCAAGGCUUUCAGGCACUUUAGGUUUACUGGUUCUUCAGACCCCAAGAAGAAGAAGAAUUGCACAGGAUAAACACAAAUGAAUGAAUAAUUAGGUGAAUCUCUUGUAAGAACCAGUAAACCUAAAGUGCUGUGCCUGAAAGAUAUCAGGUGGCUGGAGACACACCAUGGCAUUGGCUUCUGAUGGAAAACUUUAUGGAUUGGGAUGGAAUAAGUUUGACAGGUCGGAGAUGGUGACUCAACCUACUAUUGAAAAUUGCAUUGGAGCUCAAUUGAGGCGAGUUUUAGCUAGAACAUCUUGUGAUUUCUGCAUCAUACCAUCCCCCAGCCAGUUACUGGUUGGAAGAAACUCACAUCGAGUUUUGCACCACCGAAUUAUAAGAAUUCCCAAAAUUUGUACACACAAAUAAUGAAAUCUUAAAAACUUUUACGACUUCCUUUGAAUACCGCGGCGAUGCUGACAGCCUUCCUUCUUGCAGACAAUGGCACAUUGAGUCUGUUUACUUGAAUUUGGAUAUGCAAGUAAAACUCCACCUUAGCUUCUUCGAUCUAACAACACAAGCUAUUGUGGUGAUGUGUUGAAAACCAAAACUUCUUUGGUUCUCGCUUCCUUCUCUUUAUAAUGAGUUGAGAGCAUGAUUUGCAGAUUUCUGGUUUGCCUUUGGAAACUGACAAUUUGCAGAAAUUUGUUUAAAAGAUCGACAUAUGGAGGGUCAUUUUUUCUUUUCUUUUCUCAAUAAGCGUUGGCUAUUUUUCAUGAAAGGACCAUAAACAGGAUGUAGUUCGCAAAUUAUUUGAGGAUAGAUCAAAUGGAUAAGUGCUUCUGCAGUGAUGAUGCAUGUAUUUGUGGAUGCGUUUCUCAGUUAACACUGAGUUGUUGCUCAUGUGGAGUGAAUUAUGCAUGAAGUAUGACAAACUUCACUUGUGUCUGCAAUGGAUGUGCCCAUUAACACAUCCAGUAGUAUUUAAUUUUGGGCCUUGCCUCCCUGGGCCGAUAUAAUUCAUUUGGCUUACAAACAAGUAUUUUUUUCUCGUUAAUUUCAAUCAAUACACCGGAAAAGGUCUUAUGAUUUCAAUAGUUUUAGUUGAAAUAUGUUUUGUUGAAUAACAUCUAGUGCACUAGCAUAUUUUGCUGCGUUUUCUGACAAAAAUCUCUAAAUUUUAUCCGUCGGAAUUCCAAAGAAAUUAUACCAAAGAUCAUAGAAGCUCUGAGUGUUGAUGGAUCUGGUGGCCACCAGAUCGAAGCUUCAACUGUUGAUCCCUCAUCAGGUGAUGUGUUGUCCCCAUAGCCUCUUCUUACAUUUUAACUUCACAAUGGUUUUUGUCGCUUAUUGUUAUUAAUAUUAGUAUUUUCUUCGUAAUUUAUCUCUUGCUUGCUCUAAUCCUCUUGACAGAGAAAACCUCGGUUUCACCAUCUGAGUGAUAUACCAUUGUUCCUGAUGAAUCUGUAAGUAGCAUUUCUAAAAUUUCGACAAUCAUAGUUGGGACACCAAGUUGGACAGGCGUAAAUUCACCUUCUUUUGUCACCAUUUUAACAAAAGGCACCAAUCAUAUGUAGCAGCAUGGUAAUGAUAAUAAAAUUGCUGCUGUCAUUUAGCAUGCCCCAAAGGACUGUAGGUAACCCAGCUUGUAGAUAUCAAAGAACAAAAACAAAAUAGAAAAAAAAAUAUUGUCACCAAAGUAGGCAACCCAGCUUCUAGGAAUUCAAGCUAAAUUUUCUAUUUCAGGAUUGAAUUCGCAUGUUAAUUAGUGUUUGACACAUGGAGUAUACACGUGGAAAUAAAUCGAUUGUAUAAUGUUGUUAUAAAAACACAUCUCAGGACAUCCAAAUUUUUAUCAUAGUCAAAAUAUUUACACGGCCAUUCCUAACAGUUAUGAUUAGUUCUUCCUUUUCAUGUUAUUUUUUAGCAGUACUUUUCAGAGACUUAGUGUAAUUUUAACAAUCUUCAAACUAGUUUUGAUUAAGGAAGAGUGCAUAUUUUGAAGGGGAAAAAAAUAAAUGCAGUGAGUUUGCAAGAACACCUCCGAUAUGUUCUGCAUUUGAAAAGUGUGCAGGGAAUGAAAUGUUAGAUAAAUCUCCAUGCCAGAACAUGCUUUUCAAAGCUUCUUGGAGUGUUUAGUAAUGUUUUUGCUCAGAAGAACCCAAAUUAACAGCCAUCAUCCCCACAAUAAUGAUGAUGACAACAAUGGUGUACUAAGUGAUAUCUCAUGAUUUUAAUCUUUACUUGCUGUGUAUCUGUUGGUUCAGAGGCAAACAGUUGCGUUUGGGGGGUAAUGGGAAUGAUGCAAGUGUUCCUGAGAGUGAUGUCAAACGGAUGCGGAUUUGAUUACUCUAGAUUAGGGGUGAUUAUUUUCGGUUCGAUUCGGUUUUUAUCAAAAAAAGUAACCAAACUGAAAUUUUUUUUAAAAAAACCCGAAACCAAACCGAAACCAGGUCAAACCGACCAGUUUCGGUUCGGUCUGGUUCGGUUUUUUAGGGCAAAACCCGGUUCAAACUAGUUUGGCUCGGUUUUGCUCGGUUUUCUCGGUUUGGCUCGGUUUUUCCAGUUUGGCUCGGUUUUUUUUUUGUUUUGGUUCGUUUCGGUUUUUUCAGUUUUCUGCUUAUAAAACCGAAACCGAACCGAACCGGCUGGUUUUUUCAAAAUUUUAAUCGGUUUUUUUUCGGUUCGGUUUUUUCGGUUAUUUUGUUUCCGGUUUUCUCGGUUUGAUUGGUUUUUCGGUUUUUUGCUCACCCUACUCCAGAUCCAUGGAGCACCAAUAACCUGUUCUUCCGUCCCCAAGCUUCCAUUAUCUGUCUUUCCGAACCAGGCAAUGCCUAAACUGUCAUAUUUUGCACUCUUAUUACUGCUGAAUGUAAAUUCUUCCUGGACAAAACAUUGUAUUUGGUUAUAAAUUUAUUGAGAGGAAAUAUAUUUGACUCUGCAGAUUCAACUUUUUGUUCAGAAGCCACCUGACCAGGCAAAAAGGAACCGCAAUUCAGUCUGGUUUGUUCUCCUGGUGAAACUAUCUAUGUUGAUCGGCAUGUCCCUCAAUGCAUACACACGAUUUUUUUUACAAAACCGGUUCCUACGGCUGAGCAGUAUUUCAUUUUGCAUACGAAAGGAUGGCUAUUAACAGAAAUCUGUCUCCAUUUUUCUCUAGUUUCAUCUUAUCAAAAUAAACAACGCUGACAAAUGUGUCCCUCAGCUGUACAUAUGAUCUUAACAAUGUUCCACACUAGCCAUUCAGUCAAGAUCCGGCAAAUAAAUGUAUGAAAUAUGAAUAUAUUGAUUUUA